AUUGAACGCUGGCGGCAGGCCUAACACAUGCAAGUCGAGCGGUAGCACAGAGAGCUUGCUCUCGGGUGACGAGCGGCGGACGGGUGAGUAAUGUCUGGGAAACUGCCUGAUGGAGGGGGAUAACUACUGGAAACGGUAGCUAAUACCGCAUAACGUCGCAAGACCAAAGUGGGGGACCUUCGGGCCUCAUGCCAUCAGAUGUGCCCAGAUGGGAUUAGCUAGUAGGUGGGGUAACGGCUCACCUAGGCGACGAUCCCUAGCUGGUCUGAGAGGAUGACCAGCCACACUGGAACUGAGACACGGUCCAGACUCCUACGGGAGGCAGCAGUGGGGAAUAUUGCACAAUGGGCGCAAGCCUGAUGCAGCCAUGCCGCGUGUGUGAAGAAGGCCUUCGGGUUGUAAAGCACUUUCAGCGGGGAGGAAGGCGGUGAGGUUACUAACCUCACCGAUUGACGUUACCCGCAGAAGAAGCACCGGCUAACUCCGUGCCAGCCGCCGCGGUAACAC
rnacentral:rRNA from 1 species